rnacentral:rRNA from 1 species
GACGAACGCUGGCGGCGUGCUUAACACAUGCAAGUCGAACGGAAAGGCCCUGCUUUUGUGGGGUGCUCGAGUGGCGAACGGGUGAGUAACACGUGAGUAACCUGCCCUUGACUUUGGGAUAACUUCAGGAAACUGGGGCUAAUACCGGAUAGGAGCUCCUGCUGCAUGGUGGGGGGUGGAAAGUUUCGGCGGUUGGGGAUGGACUCGCGGCUUAUCAGCUUGUUGGUGGGGUAGUGGCUUACCAAGGCUUUGACGGGUAGCCGGCCUGAGAGGGUGACCGGCCACAUUGGGACUGAGAUACGGCCCAGACUCCUACGGGAGGCAGCAGUGGGGAAUAUUGCCCAAUGGGCGGAAGCCUGAUGCAGCAACGCCGCGUGCGGGAUGACGGCCUUCGGGUUGUAAACCGCUUUCGCCUGUGACGAAGCGUGAGUGACGGUAAUGGGUAAAGAAGCACCGGCUAACUACGUG